CCUACGGGAGGCAGCAGUGGGGGAUAUUGCACAAUGGGGGGAACCCUGAUGCAGCGACGCCGCGUGGGUGAAGAAGCGCCUCGGCGCGUAAAGCCCUGUCAGCAGGGAAGAAAAUGACGGUACCUGAAGAAGAAGCCCCGGCUAACUACGUGCCAGCAGCCGCGGUAAUACGUAGGGGGCAAGCGUUAUCCGGAUUUACUGGGUGUAAAGGGGGCGCAGACGGCGAUGCAAGCCAGGAGUGAAAGCCCGGGGCCCAACCCCGGGACUGCUCUUGGAACUGCGUGGCUGGAGUUGGAGAGAAGUACGCGGAAUGCGCGGUGUAGCGGUGAAAUGCUUAGAUAUCGCGCAGAACCCCGAUUGCGAAGGCAGCGUACCGGCUCCACACUGACGCUGAGGCACGAAAGCGUGGGUAUCGAACAGGAUUAGAUACCCCAGUAGUC
rnacentral:rRNA from 1 species